UACGUAGGGAGCGAGCGCUAAUCGGAAUUACUGAUCGAAAAGCAUGCGCAAGCGCUUGUGCAAGACCGGCAUGAAAUCCCCGGACUCAACCUGGAAACUGCGCUUGUGACUGCGCAGCUAGAGCACGGCAGAGGGGGGUGCAAUUCCACGUGUAGCAGUGAAAUGCGAACAGAGGUGGAGGAACACCGAUGGAGAAGGCAGCCCCCUGGCCCGAUACUGACGCUCAUGCACGAACGCGUGAGAAGGACACAGGAUAACAGACCCUGGUAGUCCACGCCCUAUGCGAUGUCAACUAGGUGUUGGCCGGCAAAAACCAUUUAGAACCGAAGAUAACGCGGGAAGUUGAGCGCCUGGGGAGCACGAACGCAAGGCUAAAACUCCUAGGAAAUGACGGCAACGCGCACAAGCGGUGGAUGAUGUGGAUUAAUUCGAUGCAACGCGAAAAACCUUCCCUACCCUUGACAUGUCCAGAAGCCCGGAGAGAUUUGGGUGUGCCCGAAAGGGAACUGGAACACAGCGUGCUGCAUGGCUGUCGUCAGCUCGUGUCGUGAGAUGUUGGGUUAAGUUCCGCAUCGAGCGCAACCCUUGUCGUUAAUUGCCAUCAUUUAGUUGGGCACUUUAACGAGACCGCCGGUGACAAACCGGAGGAAGGUGGGGAGGACGUCAAGUCCUCAUGGCCCUUAUGGGUAGGGCUUCACACGUCAUACAAUGGUCGGUACAGAGGGUUGCCAAGCCGCGAGGUGGAGCCACUCCCAGAAAGCCGAUCGUAGUCCGGAUCGCAGGAUGCAACUUGCGUGCAUGAAGUCGGAAUCGGUAGUAAUCGCGGAUCAGCAUGUCGCGGUGAAUACGUUCCCGGGUCU
rnacentral:rRNA from 1 species